GACAGGGGAUGCAAGCGUUACUCGGAAUUACUGGGCGUAAAGCGUCUGCAGGUUUCUUUCCACGUCUGGUGUAAAAGCACGAGGCUCAACCCCGUGUACGUGCCGGAAACGAGAGAGAUAGAGUCAUUCAGAGGCAUCUGGAAUGCUGUGUGUAGGGGUAAAAUCCGUAGAUCCACAGUGGAACGCCAAAAGUGAAGACAGGAUGCUGGGAAUGUACUGACACUCAGAGACGAAAGCGUGGGGAGCAAAGGGG
rnacentral:rRNA from 1 species